rnacentral:tRNA from 1 species
UAGAAAGUGGUGUAGUGGAAGCACCAUGAGUUUUGAUCUCUUGAGGAUGGGUUCGAGCCCCUUCUCUCUAG